AAUUAGCGAAACAAAGCAAUCAUGGCGGAGCGAGCACACCGGGCUGCGCGCCCCGAGGACUCGGCGACCGCCCCGCGCCCUGGCCGACAUAUGAGAUGAUUGCCCUCCUGAGAACAUCUAACUGCCACUCCAGAAUGAGAUGUGUAAGGCUCCGUUAGUGAUAUGGGCUGCAGAAAACCCUGCCAGAAGACAGGAUGUUCAAGAGUAACAUCUCAGUUGCCGUCCUUCUCUGCUGGGAAAUGCUCCUGGGACAGCAUUCUAUCUUGUCUGGAAUGUUCAAGUAUCUCACUGUGUCCUGGCUGUCCUGGAAUUUGCCAUGUAGAAGAGAAUGGCCUGAAACUCACAGAGAUCAAUUCCCCUGCCUCUGCCCCGACUCUCCAAAUACUGAGAUUAAAGGUGUGUGGUUCCACAUCUGGCCUCAAAGUGUUAUGGCUGCUGGAGGCACUCCAUAGUGAUUUCAGAGGAUCUCUUUUCUAAACAUUCCUGUCCCGAAAUAAGGAGCAGAAUCAACAAUAAAUAUGUCACAUCUGUGUGGGAGCUGGUUCAACAAGAGCCUCAGCCACAUAGAGCAACAAUUGCAGCUUUCUGACUGUCUCCUGAAUGGGUUGGGUGGACGCCAUAUAUGUGGAUGCUCCUAUCCUGAAAGCACAAAGCUGUGAAUGUUAAGCAUUGUCAACAGUGUCAUCACUUCCUAAAAAGAAAAUGAGAGAAAAAGGUGGGUGAGAUGCCACCCCGGUAAAAGCAUUUGCUGCUAAGUCUGAUGAACUGAUCUUAAGCCCUAAGACCCACAUAGUGGAAAGAGAAAAACAACCCUCACUAGUUAUUCUUUGACUUCCAUACAUGUUCCAUGCCACAUGUGUGUGCUCACACAAUAAUUAUUUUUUUUAACGAAAGUAACAGAAAUAGCCUUGACACCUAAAUCAGAAUAUCUUGCUAUGAGUUAAGCAUAGGACCCCCUUCCUUGCUUUUUCCUUACUAUUUUCAAUAACCUUCAAGGUUGAAAUAAUUCCAUAAUGGAGUUAAAAAAAAAUCCAGGGAGAAGAAAGACAGAACAUACAGUUUAGCUUUGCAUAAUUCUAGCAACCAGAACACAUUUCCUGAAAGUGACAGUCUUGCUCAUAGACAUGCCAAAACAAAAAAAUACAAAUCUAAAAUUUGAGCUGAUAACUUAGAUGGUGGCAGAGAUACCAACUUGUGAAAAGUCACAAUUUUGCAUUGUGCUGGGAAGCCACCUUCUGUGGGGGACUACUGUCACUCUUUAAUACCCAGCAGAGGAACCCCGCUGUGCUUUGUCGGUCAGGAGCAACAUCCAAGGCUCCCUGUAAAAGUAAUUCACACUUUUCUCACAACACUGUUGCUUUAAUUACCACUGAACUCUGUGGAUGCUCAGGCAGGCCUGGUAGGACAUGGCAGAGACAGAAGCAGAGGCAUAGAAAAAGCAAAUGGCUUUUCUUCUCCUUACUUCAUGAUUAGCAGCCCAUCUUUGAUGGAAUUGUUCCUAGUUCUGAAGGCUGGACUUA